UGGCCUCAUAGGGUUCCAGAUGGAGGGGGGCUCCCUGGAACAUCUCAAGAGCUGAGAGGGGCUGUCUAGGCCAGCCUCAUGCUGAGAUCAAGGCCAGCACUGGACAAGCAAAAGUGGAGCAGGAAGCUCUAAGACUUCAAAUCUCAAUAGCACACAGUGACAGGACUUUAGUCUGGCUGUUUUGGACCCAAUCUGACAACUGGAAAAUGUGAUCUUCACUGAGCCAGGCUGGAAUCUUCCAGGAAAGACUGCUUGGUAUCUCCUUGCUUGUCGUUCCCAUUUCUU